AUCAAUCACUAACAGGUGCUGGUUCAGACCAGUCUCGCCGGUCUUCUCUGGGUGGCAAGUCCACUAAUUCCAAUGUAAAAGACACAAGGAAUGCCAAGACGCCUCCUCCAGUCCACCCAUUAUCUACGAUAGCAAAGCGUUGGCUGUAGCUAUAGAUGGCGAAAUUUAGUGUUCAAUGACCAGCGAAGUGAUGCUUUGACUCGAAGCUGACUGAAGUUUUGACAUGAUAGAUGAGACACUGAGAAUUGACGAGGGAAAGACUGAAGAGUUAGCCAACAAACGCAAUAGCAAUUUUUUGGUUUAACACACUGCUUAUGUACAUAUUGACACAAGUUCUUCAAAUAAUGCUCGAAAUUUCUAUGGGAAUGUUUUCAAA